rnacentral:rRNA from 1 species
GACGAACGCUGGCGGCGUGCCUAAUACAUGCAAGUCGAACGCUGAAGAGAGGAGCUUACUCUUCUUGGAUGAGUUGCGAACGGGUGAGUAACGCGUAGGUAACCUGCCUUGUAGCGGGGGAUAACUAUUGGAAACGAUAGCUAAUACCGCAUAACAAUGGAUGACACAUGUCAUUUAUUUGAAAGGGGCAAUUGCUCCACUACAAGAUGGACCUGCGUUGUAUUAGCUAGUAGGUGAGGUACUGGCUCACCUAGGCGACGAUACAUAGCCGAACGGAGAGGGUGAGCGGCCACACUGGGACGGAGACACGGCACAGACUCCUACGGGAGGCAGCAGGAGGGAAUCGUCGGCAAUGGGGGCAACCCAGACCGAGCAACGCCGCGUGAGUGAAGAAGGUUGUCGGAUCGUAAAGCUCGGUUGUAAGUCAAGAACGGGUGUGAGAGUGGAAAGUUCACACUGUGACGGUAGCUUACCAGAAAGGGACGGCUAACUACGUG